rnacentral:rRNA from 1 species
UACGAAGGGGGCUAGCGUUGUUCGGAUUCACUGGGCGUAAAGGGCGCGUAGGCGGCCUCCGCAAGUCGACUGUGAAAUCUCCGGGCUUAACCCGGAAAGGUCAGCCGAUACUGCGGGGCUAGAGUGCAGAAGGGGCAACUGGAAUUCUCGGUGUAGCGGUGAAAUGCGUAGAUAUCGAGAGGAACACCUGCGGCGAAGGCGGGUUGCUGGGCUGACACUGACGCUGAAGCGCGAAAGCUAGGGGAGCGAACGGG